rnacentral:rRNA from 1 species
CUACGGGAUGCACCAGUGGGGAAUAUUGCACAAUGGGCGCAAGCCUGAUGCAGCCAUGCCGCGUGUAUGAAGAAGGCCUUCGGGUUGUAAAGUACUUUCAGCGGGGAGGAAGGGAGUAAAGUUAAUACCUUUGCUCAUUGACGUUACCCGCAGAAGAAGCACCGGCUAACUCCGUGCCAGCAGCCGCGGUAAUACGGAGGGUGCAAGCGUUAAUCGGAAUUACUGGGCGUAAAGCGCACGCAGGCGGUUUGGUAAGUCAGAUGUGAAAUCCCCGGGCUCAACCUGGGAACUGCAUCUGAUACUGGCAAGCUUGAGUCUCGUAGAGGGGGGUAGAAUUCCAGGUGUAGCGGUGAAAUGCGUAGAGAUCUGGAGGAAUACCGGUGGCGAAGGCGGCCCCCUGGACGAAGACUGACGCUCAGGUGCGAAAGCGUGGGGAGCAAACAGGAUUAGAUACCCCCGUAGUC